AACGAACGCUGGCGGCAGGCCUAACACAUGCAAGUCGAGCGCUCUCUUCGGAGGGAGCGGCGGACGGGUUAGUAACGCGUGGGAAUGUACCCUUCUCUAAGGAAUAGCCAUUGGAAACGAUGAGUAAUACCUUAUACCGCCCCCGGGUCGAACUGGGGGGAAAGAUUUAUCGGAGAGGGAUCAGCCCGCGUAAGAUUAGAUAGUUGGUGGGGUAAUGGCCUACCAAGUCUACGAUCUUUAGCUGGUUUUAGAGGAUGAUCAGCAACACUGGGACUGAGACACGGCCCAGACUCCUACGGGAGGCAGCAGUGGGGAAUCUUGGACAAUGGGCGCAAGCCUGAUCCAGCCAUGCCGCGUGAGUGAUGAAGGCCUUAGGGUCGUAAAGCUCUUUCGCCAGAGAUGAUAAUGACAGUAUCUGGUAAAGAAGUCCCGGCUAACUCCGUG
rnacentral:rRNA from 1 species